rnacentral:rRNA from 1 species
CCCUUUAAUGUUUGAUGUUCUAACGUUGGCCCGUAAUCCGGGUUGCGGACAGUGUCUGGUGGGUAGUUUGACUGGGGCGGUCUCCUCCUAAAGAGUAACGGAGGAGCACGAAGGUUGGCUAAUCCUGGUCGGACAUCAGGAGGUUAGUGCAAUGGCAUAAGCCAGCUUGACUGCGAGCGUGACGGCGCGAGCAGGUGCGAAAGCAGGUCAUAGUGAUCCGGUGGUUCUGAAUGGAAGGGCCAUCGCUCAACGGAUAAAAGGUACUCCGGGGAUAACAGGCUGAUACCGCCCAAGAGUUCAUAUCGACGGCGGUGUUUGGCACCUCGAUGUCGGCUCAUCACAUCCUGGGGCUGAAGUAGGUCCCAAGGGUAUGGCUGUUCGCCAUUUAAAGUGGUACGCGAGCUGGGUUUAGAACGUCGUGAGACAGUUCGGUCCCUAUCUGCCGUGGGCGCUGGAGAACUGAGGGGGGCUGCUCCUAGUACGAGAGGACCGGAGUGGACGCAUCACUGGUGUUCGGGUUGUCAUGCCAAUGGCACUGCCCGGUAGCUAAAUGCGGAAGAGAUAAGUGCUGAAAGCAUCUAAGCACGAAACUUGCCCCGAGAUGAGUUCUCCCUGAGACUUAGAGUCUCCUGAAGGAACGUUGAAGACGACGACGUUGAUAGGCCGGGUGUGUAAGCGCAGCGAUGCGUUGAGCUAACCGGUACUAAUGAACCGUGAGGCUUAACCUUACAACGCCGAAG